CGGAAGUACGAGAAGUACCAGAAUGAAUGUCAUGUUGUAGGUACGCUAAUGUCGUCUGUAGCAAGCAAUUUACUGUAAAAAUGACCGGGCACACUUUAUUUAGCGUCGCAUUGUUAACCAGACACGUCGUAAACAAUGCGUCAUUACUAACUCUCCGCAGGAAUAACGCGUUAAACAAGUUACAAGCGUGUGGGUAUGCGAAAAAAGUGGUCGCUAAAGGCAAAGGAAAAGGGAUGGUUAAAGAGGAGAUGCAAGGACCAGAGGUAUGCAAAGAUCCAGUCAGACUGACUUCUUAUGCAGUGGGUGUCAACAUCUACAAACAGGGAGAAGACCCCCAACUCAAACCAGUGGAGGAAUACCCAGAGUGGCUCUUUCAGUUAAACUUAGGGGCGCCACACAAGCUUCACGACCUGGAGGAACAUACCUGGGAGUACUGGAAGCGUCUUCGAAAGGAGAAUAUCUGGCGUCACAACAGAUUACAUAAAGGAAAGAAGUUUUAGACAACUGGACUGGACCGGGUUGUUUAUAUUGCGUCGUUUGCAUUCAAUGACUUUAGUGUUCAUGUGUUUGUAUUUUAUUUUCUAAUAUCCAUCCCUCAUUAAAUUUACACUUGCUAUGAUUGAAAACAACAGAUAUUUAGGUAUUUUUAUUAAGGGGACAUACAUGAACAUUUUAAUAUAGUGCCAAACAAAGCAAAUCAUCAAAAUAAU